rnacentral:lncRNA from 1 species
AGGCAUGCCCCAUCAUGGUCCACUCAUUUUACUGUCUACAUUUGCAAUAGUCACGAAUCAUUCCAGACCUUUCUAGCGUUUUAAGCAGCAGCUCUUUGCAUUAUUAAUCCUCCCUCUACGUACCGUUAGAUCUCAUCAACAGAGCGGGAAUUUAAGGGCGUGCUGCAAGACCUAUAAUAACACAGUGCUAAAGACCUCCCUUCCUCUCUUAAGAUCAGAGGGACCCCUGCACAGAGGCAGAGCGCAGGACACCUGUUUCUUUGGGCCCUUUGCCCAGGGCCAAGGCACCCCUCCCUUUUGCACACUUUCUUCUAAACAAUCAUCUUCUCCCAUCUUUUGAAACCAAACAAUUCCGUCAAAAAUAGAGUUUCAGGCAUUAAAUCAGGAAAUGGUACUAAACAAACGGAAAUGUUUUGCUUUUAAUACCAAAGCCAUUUGUUUACAUUUAGAAAUCGUUUCCAUCCAAAGCCCCUUAUCGAAAAGAAGCACAGGUCAUCAAUCAAAACGAGACUUUAUAGAUAAGAAACAAACCCUGACCUAACAAUUGUAGUGAACACCAACAGCUCUCCUUGGCAGUUUUGCUGAGUCAUUUUUCAGGAAACGGGCUGCCCACGGAGAUUUCUACAGGAGAAACAAUCAACGCUAUUUUCAUAUUAAUAACCUCCAGUUGCCUUAUUGUUUUCAAAACUUUUGUUAAUAAAUGUUUUCCUGUUGGGUGGAAAAAAAACAUUAAUCAGAACACAAAGCCUAAUCAGGUUUAUUUUUAUGCAUUUGGAAUUCUUUUCUUCAAUUCCUGUGUGCUCAUGUUUCCUGUGUAAACCAAUCAGAAGGCACCUUGGCAAAGACAGAUCUUUACAGCAUACAAAAAGAUUAUUCCACAACAGUGGAUGCUAUUCCUGUUAUUUGGAAUGGGCUUCUGGUUAUUCAAUGGACUUCUCUGUGUUCAAGAUUCACCACGCACAGCUCUGCCCUCACCUGAAAGCCACUGUAGGUUCCUAAUUGUAUAGGAAAGUUUUGGACAAGAUUUAGAUGCUGUAUAAGGAAUACUAAACUAAUAAAAUUUUCUUCCUUCCUCCCUUUUUUGUUUGU